GAAGAAAGCUACAAGCUUGAGUCGGAAAUUUUGUCUAAUUCCCUCACAUUUGACGCGAAUUAAGGCUUAAUGGUCCAAUGGAUGAACUUUGCGGGGUAAUGUUUUGUUUAAAGUAUUUGGAAGCAAAUUCAAGGAAUUGAAGAUAAUCUAUGUUUGAGGUGGCUCAAGGAAAUUAUUGUGUAACCGUG